AUUGAACGCUGGCGGCAGGCCUAACACAUGCAAGUCGAACGGUAACAGGAAGAAGCUUGCUUCUUUGCUGACGAGUGGCGGACGGGUGAGUAAUGUCUGGGAAACUGCCUGAUGGAGGGGGAUAACUACUGGAAACGGUAGCUAAUACCGCAUAACGUCGCAAGACCAAAGAGGGGGACAUUCGGGCCUCUUGCCAUCGGAUGUGCCCAGAUGGGUUUAGCUAGUAGGUGGGGUAACGGCUCACCUAGGCGCCGAUCCCUAGCUGGUCUGAGAGGAUGACCAGCCACACUAGAACUGAGACACGGUCCAGACUCCUACGGGAGGCAGCGGUGGGGAAUAUUGCACAAUGGGCGCAUACCUGAUGCAGCCAUGCCGCGUGUAUGAAGAAGGCCUUCGGGUUGUAAAGUUCUUUCAUCGGGGAGGAAGGGAGUAAAGUUAAUACCUUUACUCAUUGACGUUACCCGCAGAAGAAGCACCGGCUAACUCCGUG
rnacentral:rRNA from 1 species